AUUGAACGCUGGCGGCAUGCUUUACACAUGCAAGUCGAACGGUAACAGGGAGCUUGCUCCGCUGACGAGUGGCGAACGGGUGAGUAAUGCGUCGGAACGUGCCGAGUAGCGGGGGAUAACGCAUCGAAAGGUGUGCUAAUACCGCAUACGUACUGAGGUAGAAAGUGGGGGACCUUCGGGCCUCACGCUAUUCGAGCGGCCGACGGCUGAUUAGCUAGUUGGUGAGGUAAAGGCUCACCAAGGCGACGAUCAGUAGCGGGUCUGAGAGGAUGAUCCGCCACACUGGGACUGAGACACGGCCCAGACUCCUACGGGAGGCAGCAGUGGGGAAUUUUGGACAAUGGGCGCAAGCCUGAUCCAGCCAUGCCGCGUGUCUGAAGAAGGCCUUCGGGUUGUAAAGGACUUUUGUCCGGGAGCAAAUGCUGGUGGCUAACAUCCACCGGAGCUGAGAGUACCGGAAGAAUAAGCACCGGCUAACUACGUGCCAGCAGCCGCCGUAACAC
rnacentral:rRNA from 1 species